GUGUCUUUUGAAAGGAGAGCAGGUUAGCACUCCCCUUGACAAGGAUGGAACACAAAAUGGAGCCGGAAGGCACAAUCCGGCUCCUACCCAUUUUUUUGU
rfam:Culex pipiens quinquefasciatus supercont3.29 genomic scaffold, whole genome shotgun sequence.